CAGCAGCCGCGGUAAUACGUAGGUGGCAAGCGUUGUCCGGAAUUAUUGGGCGUAAAGGGCUCGCAGGCGGUUUCUUAAGUCUGAUGUGAAAGCCCCCGGCUCAACCGGGGAGGGUCAUUGGAAACUGGGAAACUUGAGUGCAGAAGAGGAGAGUGGAAUUCCACGUGUAGCGGUGAAAUGCGUAGAGAUGUGGAGGAACACCAGUGGCGAAGGCGACUCUCUGGUCUGUAACUGACGCUGAGGAGCGAAAGCGUGGGGAGCGAACAGGAUUAGAGACCCCAGUAGUCCCUGUCUCUUAUAC
rnacentral:rRNA from 1 species